GGUCCUCAGUCCCCCAGCCUCCAGAGCUCGGCUGCGGGCCUCGGGCCGAAGUGAGGAGUGCGCGUGGGCGAAGGAAUUCUCCCGGGGAGAUAAGCCUGGCCUCAGACCCUCCCUGGGACACCGUGGGCCGGACGCCUGGAGGAAGAGAGGAGGAGAGGGCCGACCGCUCCUCACAGACCCUGCGGGGGCCGCGGCCCAAGGGUCCUUCUGCUCAGGAAUGAAUCUGAGGACAGGCAACAUCCUGGUGAUGCUCCAGACUUUCCAGCUGGCUUGGUGUAGAGGACCUGUGGGAUGUGCUGAGGAGGACUGCGGGAGAGGAGGGUGGCCGUGCUUCAGAGGCUGCCCCAUCAGCCCAGGUUAACGAAGGAAGACGUGGAGCAGAGCCCAGCCCACCCGUGCUGGACGUGGCACCAGAGGUUUCUCACCAGUAUGAAUUGUGUGAUGUCGAGUAAGUUCUGCUUGAAGACGAAAGGCAUCCCCACAUUCUUUACACCCAUAAGGUUUCUCACCAGUAUGAAGUCUAAAAUGUUGAGUAAGAUGAUAUCGGCGACUAAAAGUCUUUCCACAUUCCUUACAUUCAUACGGAAUCUCACCAGUGUGAAUUCUUUGAUGUAAGGGGGCAGACAUUCAGCUGGUGUCUUAAAACAGAGCUCUGAAAUUCAACAAUGGAGAAAACUGAUAUUCCAGAAAACAGAUUGAUUGUCAGUUAUUUGCACAGAUAUCCUUACCCAAUGAGACCAAGUUGCUGUAGUUCUCCAACAUCACAUCCCUGUACAAGGCCCUCUGAACAGGGUCCAGGCACUCCCAUUCCUCCUGGGAGAGGUCUAUGGCCACGUCCCUGAAUGACAAGGACAUCUGAAAUGACAGACCCAUGUAUCAUAAACAACGUUUUAAAUGUAUUUUCAAGAUGGAAAACUGCUUUGCAAGAAAGAGGCAAUGAUAAAGCAAGCAGUAAACUGAGGUUCAAGCCCGUGGUAUGUAGAGAAGAAUAAGAAAAUCAGUGAUUUCUAAAGUGGAAUGCCUAUAUGUUUUUAAAGAAUACAGUUGGUACAAACAGAAUGUCCUGUAUA